UCACCCUGGCAAUGGGCAAAGAGACUCCUUGUUGGUGGUGUUCUUACACCAGUCAGGGGCAGAGCAGAUGGCAGUCCUUUGUUCAUCCUAGCUUGAUGCCUGGCUUGGUGGACAAAGCUGUCUUAUGCCUACGAUGCAUAA